CCGCUGGAUGGUGAAGAGAUGGUCUCAUAUAUCCUCACUGGACUCGACAUCGAAUUCAAUCCAGUUGUGUCUGCCAUCAUCGCACGAGUUGAACCAAUCACUGUAAGUGAAUUGUACACGUAGUUAUUAAGUUUUGAAA